UGUUUAUCCCCUUCAAAAUUUCUGUUGAAACUUCAUCCCUAGUGUGGCAGUAUCGAGAGGUGGGGGCUUUAAGAAGGGAUUGGGUCAUGAGGACUCUGACCUCAUGAAUGGAUUAACUCAUUCAUGGAUUAGUGGAUUAAUGAGUUACCAUGGGAGUGGGUCUGGUGGCUUUAUAAGAGGAGGAAGAGAGACCUGAGCUAGCAUGCUCAGCCCCCUCACCCCCUGUGCUACCUUGGGACUCUGCAGAGUCCUCGACAGUAAGAAGGCUCUCACCUGUUAUGCCCCUGGACCUUGGACUUCUCAGCCUCCAUAACUGGUGCCUGUGCAGCAGUAUUCACUGUGAUAGGAAGUGAGAAGCAGUCUGAGUGUUCAUUGCUGAGGGAAUCAAGGGCAAAAUAUCAUGGAUGCACUCAUGGACAAAUAAGCAGCAGUUUGAAGCAACAACCUAGAUGGAUGUACAGCCAUCAAGAGGAUCUUAAAGUGUGGUCUUUAGUGGAAAAAAAGCUUAUUUUGGGAGAGACCAGCCGCCAUGUCAUGAAGACACUCAAGAAGCCCUGUGAAGAGGGAGCAAGGCCUGCCAACAACAGCCAGCACCAACUUUCCAGCCAAGGGACUGAGCCAUCUCACAGUGGAUCCUCCAGCCCCCACCAAGACUUCAUAUGACCAAACCAAUACCAACAUGUAACUGUGACCUCAUGUGAGUCCCCAAGCCAGAAUACCCAUCUCCUGUCUCAUAGAAAUGAUGAGAAAUAAUAAAUAUAUGUGCUCACACAUAUUACCAUCUAAUUUUCUACAUUAUAUGUUUAUUUCCCCACUGUAUAUAAGAUCCAAGGACUGUUUUCUUUUUCACUGCUAUAUUCCAAGAACCUAGAACAAAUCUGGCAUAUGGUAAGUAUACAAUAAAUAUCUGUUGAAUUAAUUAAUGGGAAAAAAUAAAUGAAUGAUGAACGGCUGCUCUGGAAAAAAUACCUUGAAGAGUGGCAGGAGCGGAAAGAGGAGGAUCAGAUGGGAGGCUAACAGCCAGCACCACCUUGCCAGCCAAGUGACUGAGCCAUCUUGCAGUGGAUCCUCCAGCCCCCAUCAAGCCCCAACUAAGCCACUAAGUUUCAUGGUAAUUUCUUACACUGCAAUAAAUAACUAAUACUGGACCAGUGAGAAAAGGAGUCAAGAAUAAUCUCAGCUUUCUACCUUUAAUAACUUAAUGGAUAGUGGUGCUAUUAAUCAAGUCAGGAAAGAGAAAGGACAAUAAUUACACCUAUAGUAUUACCCAAAGUCAUGAUAAAUUAUUUUCCAUAUGCUCUUGCUAAAAUUUAUGUAGUCAUUCAACUUAUUUUAUUGAGUAUCUACCAUGAAACUGGCAAUAUGGAAGAACCUUCUGAUAUAGAACUGAAUAUAAUUUAGUCACUGCCCUCAAGUAAUAAGUCUGGAGAAUCAAGAAUCUGAAAAAUGUUUGUAGCUUUUGUUCAAAAUUUUCUCUCAGCCAUUUAAAGGGAAAAUUAUGAAGAUUGUAUAGUGGUGACAGACUGGGAUAGCAGUCCACAAAAACUUAGGAAGCCCUUCCAUAGCACAGAGUCAAUGCUGAGGAACAGCUGCCCAGCCAGGGGCUACAUUUUCCAACCCACCCUUGCAUCUAGGUGUGGCCACAUGGUGCAUUUGGACAAUGGGUGAUAAACUAGUAUGAGAAUGAGAACAGAAGUAAUGUGUGUUUCUUCUAGGCUGAGGAUAUCAGAAAACAAACAUAUCAUCUCUACACUGCUUAUUUCUCUUUCUACAGAUUCAGUACAGGUAAUCAUGUGGCUCUAGGCAAUGCCAGAGUCACAAGAGGGAAGGAAACUGGGUCCCCAUCCCAUUUGGUAGACAAGAGUCUUUGCCCACCAGGGACAUCCUCAUUGGACUAUGGUGUGAGUGAGAAAUAACAUUCUAUUGUUUUUAAGGCAAUAAAAAUUGCCUACAUUUCAGGUUUAUUUAUUACAACCACCCACAUUUUCUUAAGCAGUAGCGAAAGAAACAUAAACGACAGUUUAAUGCCAAAUCAAAAAUGUCAAAUGCAAAAUUAUUUUAUGCUAUUACAGUAUAAAAUUAUGUCCACUUUGGGGCAAGGACUUAGAAAAAUGCAGAAAUAAACAUGUAAAGUUAUUAAGUAGGAACAAUUAUAGAUACAUUUUUAUCUUAUUAAAUUUCAGUUAUUUUUGAAAAGGUAAUAUACAUUCUGUUUAAGAAGGUUAAAGUGAGUAAUUACACUUGAAUAAAGUUUCAACCUGAAAUACUUUAGUUAUAAUUGGAGAAUUACCAGAAGAUUAAAUUCUAGAUAUCUGGAAAUUUUACCUAUGUGAGAUCUGCUCAUUAACCCAUCAAUACCAGAGAGAAGAGGUAUUGCUGGACAUGGUCCUAUCAUCUGGGGGAUAAGUACUGGAGGAGAUGUGAAAGAGAGGGUGAUGGGGCUUCUAAGGUAAGACAUGGAAAAUUGUGAAGAUAUGUGUGUCCCUUAUGGACACUCACAAAAUGGUGACCUAGGCAGAGGAGGAUUUUAAUAAUAGGAUGACCAGUUCUGUGGAUGUCAAUGAGUGGCUUUCCCCCAGCCAUUCCUGUCAUUGUCCAAUGGGCUCAUGAGCCAAGUGGCUGAUAUGGUUUAGAUGUUUGUCUCCUCCAAAUCUCAUAUUGAAAUGUAAUCCUCAGUGUUAGCGGUGGGGCCCAGUGAGAGGUGUUUGGAUCAUGGGGGCGAGUCCCUCAUGAAUGGUCUAGCACCAUGCCCUUGACGAUAAGUGUGUUCUCGCUCUGAGUUUACAUGAGAUCUGCUUGUUUAAAAGUAUGUGGCACCUUCUCUUUUGUUCUCUUGCUCCCACUCUUGCUGUGUGAUAUGCCUGCUCCCACUUUGUCAUCCGCCAUGUGUAAAAGCUCCUGAGGCCUCACCAGAAGCCAAGGAGAUGCUGGCAC
rnacentral:lncRNA from 1 species